rnacentral:rRNA from 1 species
UAGGGAAUCUUCCACAAUGGACGCAAGUCUGAUGGAGCAACGCCGCGUGAGUGAAGAAGGUUUUCGGAUCGUAAAGCUCUGUUGUUGGUGAGGAAGGAUAGAGGCAGUAACUGGUCUUUAUUUGACGGUAAUCAACCAGAAAGUCACGGCUAACUACGUGCCAGCAGCCGCGGUAAUACGUAGGUGGCAAGCGUUGUCCGGAUUUAUUGGGCGUAAAGCGAGCGCAGGCGGAAUGGUAAGUCUGAUGUGAAAGCCCACGGCUCAACCGUGGAACUGCAUCGGAAACUGUCAUUCUUGAGUGCAGAAGAGGAGAGUGGAAUUCCAGGUGUAGCGGUGGAAUGCGUAGAUAUAUGGAAGAACACCAGUGGCGAAGGCGGCGCUCUGGUCUGCAACUGACGCUGAGGCUCGAAAGCAUGGGUAGCGAACAGG